CGCUCGAACCCACCCAAACCCUCGUCGCCUCCUCUCUCCCCCCGAACCCCUCUAUCUCUCUCGCCGCCGCCACCCACGCCGCCCGGUUCCUGCGAGCUCCGGCCGCGCGCAGCACGCCGGCGAGAUCCCCUUGGUCCGCGUCUGCCUUACCUCCAUGCAGAUCCGCGGCUCCCCAACUGGCUAGGGUUUUGCAUCCCCUUUUGUUCACCGGGAUCCGCCACGGCAGGCCACGGAGAGGCCAUAGGUGACCGGAUCCAGCACUGGUCGCCAUGGGCGUGCCGGCGACGACGGCAGGAGGGGCGCACCUCCGUUGGGCGGGACGCCGCCAUGGAGAUGGAUUCCCUUGUCCCCCACCACGCAGCGGCACCAUGGAGCCUCCCAGCACCCCAAACCCUAGCGGAGAGAGAGGAGCUGCUCCUAGUACAGCACGCCAUGGAAGGUUGCUCUAAUGGCGAAGCUUCUUCUGCAGGAUGCCCUCCACCCCUCCCCUGCAUCCACCUCCUACCACCAUACAUGAUUCGGAGGAGCAGGCAUCCUCCAUGGACGAUGAUGACAACCAGGUCAUCCACCGCCACGACGACGCCCCGCACAUGGUCCAACUCGACUACAACAUCCACCGCGUGACGGCGACGUGGUCGUGUGCGACAUCGACUACAACCUCCUCUCCUGUGAAUCGGUCUCCUACCUCUAGCUCCCGCUCUUGUGCUGCUAUAUUAGUACCUUGCUCUGUUUCAUGCGCAAGGGUGAUUUUGUUUGUGCUUGCCGUGCUUGUGUCAUGGAAAAGAUCAUUCCUAUUUAUUUGUGCUCUGUUUUGUUUAUUAUCACGAGUUGCAAAAUUAGUAGUGGGAAGUAAACUUUUGUUAACUUGUUGGUUGAACCAAUGGAACUACUGUUAUAUUUGAUUUGUUGCUUAA